GACGAACGCUGGCGGCGUGCUUAACACAUGCAAGUCGAACGGAAAGGCCCUGCUUUUGUGGGGUGCUCGAGUGGCGAACGGGUGAGUAACACGUGAGUAACCUGCCCUUGACUUUGGGAUAACUUCAGGAAACUGGGGCUAAUACCGGAUAGGAGCUCCUGCUGCAUGGUGGGGGUUGGAAAGUUUCGGCGGUUGGGGAUGGACUCGCGGCUUAUCAGCUUGUUGGUGGGGUAGUGGCUUACCAAGGCUUUGACGGGUAUCCGGCCUGAGAGGGUGACCGGCCACAUUGGGACUGAGAUACGGCCCAGACUCCUACGGGAGGCAGCAGUGGGGACUAUUGCACAAUGGGCGGAAGCCUGAUGCAGCAACGCCGCGUGCGGGAUGACGGCCUUCGGGUUGUAAACCGCUUUCGCCUGUGACGAAGCGUGAGUGACGGUAAUGGGUAAAGAAGCACCGGCUAACUACGUG
rnacentral:rRNA from 1 species